rnacentral:rRNA from 1 species
ACGCACGCUGGCGGCGUGCCUAAUACAUGCAAGUAGAACGCUGAAGGAGGAGCUUGCUUCUCUGGAUGAGUUGCGAACGGGUGAGUAACGCGUAGGUAACCUGCCUGGUAGCGGGGGAUAACUAUUGGAAACGAUAGCUAAUACCGCAUAAGAGUAGAUGUUGCAUGACAUUUGCUUAAAAGGUGCAAUUGCAUCACUACCAGCUGGACCUGCGUUGUAUUAGCUAGUUGGUGGGGUAACGGCUCACCAAGGCGACGAUACAUAGCCGACCUGAGAGGGUGAUCAGCCACACUGGGACUGAGACACGGCCCAGACUCCUACGGGAGGCAGCAGUAGGGAAUCUUCGGCAAUGGACGGAAGUCUGACCGAGCAACGCCGCGUGAGUGAAGAAGGUUUUCGGAUCGUAAAGCUCUGUUGUAAGAGAAGAACGAGUGUGAGAGUGGAAAGUUCACACUGUGACGGUAGCUUACCAGAAAGGGACGGCUAACUACGUG